rnacentral:tRNA from 1 species
UCGCUUUUAGUUCAGUGGUCGAGCGUUGGCUUGAAGCCACAGGUCGGUGGUUCGAACCCACCAGGGCACA